rnacentral:rRNA from 1 species
AUGAUGACCCUGGUAGCAUUUUUGGACUACCAAGACAGAAUUCGCCGCCUAUCUCUUUACUGUGAUCAUGAUAGAAAGGAUAUCUUUUUACCAUCUGCUAUAACUGCGUCUCAUAUCCGAUCACUCACCAUUUGUGUGACUGAUAAAGAGAUGCCUACUCUUGCAAACUUUCGAGCACUUCGAGUUCUUGAUCUGGAAAGUAGUGGGGAGUUAGAAGGUGCCAGGUAUCUUCAACAUAUAGGAAAACUAUACCUGUUAAAGUAUCUGCGUCUUCAAGCAACAAGGAUCAUUGAGCUGCCAGAACAAAUAGUGGAACUGCAGUUCCUCCAGACAUUGGAUCUGACUCGUGCACCCAUAAACAGAUUGCCCUGCAGUAUUGUUCGACUGAAGCAACUCACUUAUUUACUUGUUAAAAAUGUAAAAUUGCCAGAUGGAAUUGGAGAGUUGCAACUUCUUCAGGAGCUCUCCCAUGUUGAAGUAGAGAGCAGUAACUCGCCAAAUUCUUUGGAGGAGCUGAGCCGUUUGUCUAUGCUGAGGGUUCUCGGGCUAAACUGGUGCAUUAGUGACACAAAUAUUUGUAGGGAAACCUGUGUCCGUAGCUUGAUCUCUUCACUUGACAAACUUGGCACUUCCAACCUCCAGUCUCUUCAUAUUAGCAGUGGUUCUGGGUGUUCCCUGGAUUUUUUGUUGGAUUCCCUGUCUGCUCCUUUUGACCACCUCCACAAGUUUCGGAUGACUUCAGAUUACUAUUUCCCAAGAAUACCAGCAUGGAUGACCUCACUUGUUAGCCUCCGAGUGUUGGAGAUCAACAUUGAUACAGUGGGAGAGGAUGCACUGAAGAUCCUUGGGAAAUUGCCUUCUCUGCUAGUUCUCUUGCUGUCGUUUGGCAUCGAGCACCUCGCUUCCCUCAGAUAUCUCCAUGUAGAUAUUGACUGUGAGGACGCAGAGGCUAGGGAGGUGGAAACUGCAGAGGAUGCUAUUAGGAGUGCAAUCAGCGCUCAUCCUGGUCAUCCUAGGCUUGAAGUCUGGAGGUUGGGGGAAGAAAAAGUGAUGAUAAACGAGGUGGAGAUCACUAAUCAUGGUGAAGGGAUAGAGGGUCCCAAUGAUAAGAAGUGUGAAGAAAUGGUGGAAGAGAACCUCAUUUCUCCUACUGUAAGUCCAUGGUGGCUCCUCCCUGCAUGGUGUAUCAUAUCCAUAGUGUGGAUGGUCUCCUCAUGGGGGGUCAUCUCCACAUGGGGGGUCAUCUCCGCAUGGUGGGUCGUCUCCGUUUACGCCUACUGGGUCAUCUCCAAAUGGUGGAUCGUCUCCCCAUGGCGUGUCUCCCCAUUGUGUGUCGUCCCCACAUUGUGUAUCAUCUACGAAUGGCGGGUUGUCUUCAAAUGGUGCCUCGUUUCCUGGUGGUGCUUCAUCGCUGUCGGCAGAUGGUUGUCGAAGAUGAUCGUCGGUGUCCUCCCCAUGACCCUCGGAGCUCGUAAAUUCAGAUCGCUAAUCAGCCAGGAGGAGGACGAGGUGGAGUUCAACCUGCUGCCGCUGCUGAUGGCCGCCAUCAUCAUCAUGCUGUUGUUCGUCAGGCGAUUCGACAUACACGACAUCUUCGUCGCCGUCACGGUGGCCAUGGCGUCUCUGGCAGACGUUGCCGUUCUCCCGCCAGGCCGCCACCACGUCCUGGUUGCCAUCGCCGUGCAGGUGCACCAGCUACCAUGCCCGCGCAGCGUCGACUCUCUGCUGCCCGGCCACCACAUCUGCGCCGCCAGUACAAUGGUCGAGCCACUGCACACAUCAGAUGCAUCAUUCCUUCACUAG